GUUUUAACAAACAGAAUGUUAGGGGCAUUUAAAACUAAACCACAUGUCAGAAAUGGUAUUUAAAAUACAUUUGAGAGAAUGGUUUUGAGGUUAUUUGAAAUAUCAAGCUUGCAAAUUAUUUUAAUCAACAAGGUUUUAAUUGACUUAGAUAUUACUAAACGCUUUUAGAAUAAACUCAAAUUUUGCAAGGGCAGAAGAGAAAAAUUUUGUACCACACAUUUCCCAGAAAUGCCUUGGAAGGGACCGGUUUCAUAAACAAACUUGCUGCUUAGAAAUUUUUAUGCUUCAAAGUUAAAAUAAAAAUAUACUGAUAUUCACAAGUGGGUUUUUCAGUGUUAUUUUUUCCCCUACUCUUCAAUUCCUCUCACCUUUCUCUCCCCUCCCCCCUCCCUUCUAGGUAAUCCUUAGACUUCCUUCACAUGGAGAGUGUGAAGAAUUUACAAUUGGGUCUUUGCAAAGCAGGCCUGUGACACUUACUACCCAGGGUGUCAGUAAAGGCGAGUUACCCUUCCUGGAAGAACUUUGAAUGAGAUGCAAAGAGACCCUGGGAACUUGACCAGUCAAACUUAGAAGUAUGAAGAGAAUGUAGUGGGAGGAAGUGGAGGCCGUGAGUCAGCAUGAGUCAUUCUGUUCCAAUGAGAAUGAAGGCUGACUGAGAGGUGUGUGUAUCUUUUUUUGGUUUGGGUUUUGGGUUUUUUUUUCUCUUCGUCUUAAUCUUUGGAACAUCAUUGGUGAAUGGAGGAAAAAAGCAUCCUGUUCUCAAGGAGGUGGAGCAACCGACUUCUCCUUGGUGUAGUGAGGCUCAUCUGGAAUCCAGUAGAAUGAAUGACAGAUUUCUCCCGAGGGAAGUCCUUGCUGAUGGAUCUGCCUAUAGCUUUGGGUACUGUGAGGCUGAACUUACUAGCUGGAUUGCUGAAAUGGAUUGCCUUAAUUUCAUGGUGCCAAUGAAGCACAUCAAUGAAAACAGCCACAACUGGUAAGAAUAAUAGCUGACGAUUACAUAGCACCUUGAGGUUUUCAAAGGGCUUUAUUUCAGUUAAAUUUAAUUCAGUAAAUACAUUAAGGACCUUCUACGUGUCAGGUGCUAC
rnacentral:lncRNA from 1 species